GGGUUGUGAGGUUAAGCGACUAAGCGUACACGGUGGAUGCCCUGGCAGUCAGAGGCGAUGAAGGGCGUGCUAAUCUGCGAUAAGCGCCGGUAAGGUGAUAUGAACCGUUAUAACCGGCGAUACCCGAAUGGGGAAACCCAGUGUGACUCGUCACACUAUCAUUAACUGAAUCCAUAGGUUAAUGAGGCGAACCGGGGGAACUGAAACAUCUAAGUACCCCGAGGAAAAGAAAUCAACCGAGAUUCCCCCAGUAGCGGCGAGCGAACGGGGAGGAGCCCAGAGCCUGAAUCAGCAUGUGUGUUAGUGGAAGCGUCUGGAAAGGCGCGCGAUACAGGGUGACAGCCCCGUACACAAAAGCGCAUGUGCUGUGAGCUCGAUGAGUAGGGCGGGACACGUGGUAUCCUGUCUGAAUAUGGGGGGACCAUCCUCCAAGGCUAAAUACUCCUGACUGACCGAUAGUGAACCAGUACCGUGAGGGAAAGGCGAAAAGAACCCCGGCGAGGGGAGUGAAAAAGAACCUGAAACCGUGUACGUACAAGCAGUGGGAGCACCCUUUGGGUGUGACUGCGUACCUUUUGUAUAAUGGGUCAGCGACUUAUAUUCUGUAGCAAGGUUAACCGAAUAGGGGAGCCGGAGGGAAACCGAGUCUUAAUUGGGCGUUAAGUUGCAGGGUAUAGACCCGAAACCCGGUGAUCUAGCCAUGGGCAGGUUGAAGGUUGGGUAACACUAACUGGAGGACCGAACCGACUAAUGUUGAAAAAUUAGCGGAUGACCUGUGGCUGGGGGUGAAAGGCCAAUCAAACCGGGAGAUAGCUGGUUCUCCCCGAAAGCUAUUUAGGUAGCGCCUCGUGAAUUCAUCUCCGGGGGUAGAGCACUGUUUCGGCUAGGGGGCCAUCCCGGCUUACCAACCCGAUGCAAACUGCGAAUACCGGAGAAUGUUAUCACGGGAGACACACGGCGGGUGCUAACGUCCGUCGUGAAGAGGGAAACAACCCAGACCGCCAGCUAAGGUCCCAAAGUCAUGGUUAAGUGGGAAACGAUGUGGGAAGGCCCAGACAGCCAGGAUGUUGGCUUAGAAGCAGCCAUCAUUUAAAGAAAGCGUAAUAGCUCACUGGUCGAGUCGGCCUGCGCGGAAGAUGUAACGGGGCUAAACCAUGCACCGAAGCUGCGGCAGCGACACUGUGUGUUGUUGGGUAGGGGAGCGUUCUGUAAGCCUGUGAAGGUGUGUCGUGAGGCAUGCUGGAGGUAUCAGAAGUGCGAAUGCUGACAUAAGUAACGAUAAAGCGGGUGAAAAGCCCGCUCGCCGGAAGACCAAGGGUUCCUGUCCAACGUUAAUCGGGGCAGGGUGAGUCGACCCCUAAGGCGAGGCCGAAAGGCGUAGUCGAUGGGAAACGGGUUAAUAUUCCCGUACUUGGUGUUACUGCGAAGGGGGGACGGAGAAGGCUAUGUUGGCCGGGCGACGGUUGUCCCGGUUUAAGUGUGUAGGUGUGUGUUCCAGGUAAAUCCGGUUCACUUUAACACUGAGGCGUGACGACGAGGCACUACGGUGCUGAAGCAACAAAUGCCCUGCUUCCAGGAAAAGCCUCUAAGCAUCAGGUAACAUCAAAUCGUACCCCAAACCGACACAGGUGGUCAGGUAGAGAAUACCAAGGCGCUUGAGAGAACUCGGGUGAAGGAACUAGGCAAAAUGGUGCCGUAACUUCGGGAGAAGGCACGCUGACACGUAGGUGAAGUGAUUUACUCAUGGAGCUGAAGUCAGUCGAAGAUACCAGCUGGCUGCAACUGUUUAUUAAAAACACAGCACUGUGCAAACACGAAAGUGGACGUAUACGGUGUGACGCCUGCCCGGUGCCGGAAGGUUAAUCGAUGGGGUCAGCGCAAGCGAAGCUCCUGAUCGAAGCCCCGGUAAACGGCGGCCGUAACUAUAACGGUCCUAAGGUAGCGAAAUUCCUUGUCGGGUAAGUUCCGACCUGCACGAAUGGCGUAAUGAUGGCCAGGCUGUCUCCACCCGAGACUCAGUGAAAUUGAACUCGCUGUGAAGAUGCAGUGUACCCGCGGCAAGACGGAAAGACCCCGUGAACCUUUACUAUAGCUUGACACUGAACAUUGAGCCUUGAUGUGUAGGAUAGGUGGGAGGCUUUGAAGUGUGGACGCCAGUCUGCAUGGAGCCGACCUUGAAAUACCACCCUUUAAUGUUUGAUGUUCUAACGUGGACCCGUUACCCGGGUUGCGGACAGUGUCUGGUGGGUAGUUUGACUGGGGCGGUCUCCUCCUAAAGAGUAACGGAGGAGCACGAAGGUUGGCUAAUCCUGGUCGGACAUCAGGAGGUUAGUGCAAUGGCAUAAGCCAGCUUGACUGCGAGCGUGACGGCGCGAGCAGGUGCGAAAGCAGGUCAUAGUGAUCCGGUGGUUCUGAAUGGAAGGGCCAUCGCUCAACGGAUAAAAGGUACUCCGGGGAUAACAGGCUGAUACCGCCCAAGAGUUCAUAUCGACGGCGGUGUUUGGCACCUCGAUGUCGGCUCAUCACAUCCUGGGGCUGAAGUAGGUCCCAAGGGUAUGGCUGUUCGCCAUUUAAAGUGGUACGCGAGCUGGGUUUAGAACGUCGUGAGACAGUUCGGUCCCUAUCUGCCGUGGGCGCUGGAGAACUGAGGGGGGCUGCUCCUAGUACGAGAGGACCGGAGUGGACGCAUCACUGGUGUUCGGGUUGUCAUGCCAAUGGCACUGCCCGGUAGCUAAAUGCGGAAGAGAUAAGUGCUGAAAGCAUCUAAGCACGAAACUUGCCCCGAGAUGAGUUCUCCCUGAGACUUAAAGUCUCCUGAAGGAACGUUGAAGACGACGACGUUGAUAGGCCGGGUGUGUAAGCGCAGCGAUGCGUUGAGCUAACCGGUACUAAUGAACCGUGAGGCUUAACCUUACAACGCCGAAG
rnacentral:rRNA from 2 species